AUGAGAUCAGGGAGCGCCGCGGCCGCCGCCGUAAUCUUGUCUCGACGGCUCGGAGCCGUGUUGCUGCUGGUGCUGCUUCUGAUCGCGGCAACGGCGGCGGCGGCGGAGGGGAGCAAGAGCGGGAGCGGCGACGGCAAGGCGCACAACUACGAGGAGGCGCUGCGGAAGAGCCUGCUCUACUUCGAGGCGCAGCGGUCGGGGCGGCUGCCGCACGGGCAGCGCGUGCCGUGGCGCGACCACUCGGGCCUCACCGACGGCCUGGAGCAGGGGGUGGACCUGGUGGGCGGCUACUACGACGCCGGCGACCACGUCAAGUUCGGCCUGCCUAUGGCCUUCACCGUCACCAUGCUGUCCUGGAGCAUGCUCGAGUACGGCGCCGACGUCGCGGCGGCCGGCGAGCUCGCGCACGCGCUCGAGGCCAUCAAGUGGGGCACCGACUACUUCAUCAAGGCGCACACGCAGCCCGACGAGCUGUGGGCCGAGGUGGGGGACGGCGACACGGACCACUACUGCUGGCAGCGGCCGGAGGACAUGACGACGUCGCGGCAGGCGUACAAGGUGGACCGCGACCACCCGGGCUCCGACGUCGCCGGCGAGACGGCCGCCGCCAUGGCCGCCGCCUCCAUGGUCUUCCGCAAGUCCAACCCGCACUACGCCCACCUCCUCCUGCACCACGCCCAGCAGCUGUUCGAGUUCGCGGACGGGUACAGGGGCCAGUACGACAGCAGCAUCGCGGAGGUGAAGAGCUACUACGCGUCGGUGAGCGGGUACAAGGACGAGCUGCUGUGGGCCGCCCUGUGGCUCCACCGCGCCACCGGCAAGCCCGGCUACCUCGACUACGUCGUCGACAACGCCCACGACUUCGGCGGCACCGGCUGGGCCAUCACCGAGUUCAGCUGGGACGUCAAGUACGCGGGCGUCCAGAUCCUCGCCGCAAGACUGCUGCUGAGGGGAGAGCACACGGCGGAGCAGAAGAGGACGCUGGAGCGGUACCAGGCCAAGGCGGAGCACUACGUGUGCGCGUGCCUGGGCCGGAACGCGCAGGCCGGCGGCGAGGACGCCAACGUGGAGCGGAGCCCGGGCGGGAUGCUCUACAUCCGGCAGUGGAACAACAUGCAGUACGUGACCAACGCGGCGUUCCUGCUGUCCACGUACGCCGACUACCUGGCCGAGGCCGGCGUGGGGACGGUGACCUGCGCCGGCGGCGAGACGGCGGGCGCCGGCGAGGUGGCGGCACUGGCCAGAGCGCAGGUGGACUACGUGCUGGGCACCAACCCCAGGGGCGUCAGCUACCUCGUGGGCUACGGCGCCAAGUACCCCGCCAGGGUGCACCACCGCGCCGCCUCCAUCGUGCCGUACAAGCACAGCAAGCAGUUCAUCGGGUGCUCGCAGGGGUUCGAACACUGGUUCGGCCGCCGCAGCUCCAACCCCAACGUGCUCGUCGGCGCCAUCGUCGGCGGGCCCGACCGGAGGGACCGGUUCAGGGACAACCGGGACAACUACAUGCAGACGGAGGCGUGCACCUACAACACCGCGCCCAUGGUGGGGAUGUUCGCCAAGCUCAACCGGAUGGCGAGGGAGGAGAGGGAGCGGAGAGCUGCCACGGCGAGAAGCGGCACGGCGGCCGAGGUGUAA
rnacentral:rRNA from 1 species